AUUGCAUAUGUCCUUUACUAAAACCAUAUUGUUUUAGAUACUUAAUCGUUCGCAUUGACUUUAUGGUAUUCAAGGGGACUAAAGAAAAUUUGGUUUAUCAUUUCCUCUGGUGGAUUGUUGUUACUUCGUACAAUGCCUCCAUAGCAUAAAUCAACAGCUUUUUUUA